UUAUAUGUGCACAUUUUGGUUUUUCUUGCCUAAGUGCAGGACUUUACUUUUCUCUACAUUGAAUUUCAUUUUGUUAGAUAUGGCCCAGUGUUCUAGUCUGUCAAGAUCCAUCUAGAUCUUGAGCCGAUCUUCUUGGGUGUGAACUAUUCCUGCCAGCUUAGUAUCAUCUGCAAAUUUGGUAAGUUCCCCUUCUAUUCCCUCAUCUAAGUCGUUAAUGAAGAUAUUGAAGACAAUAAAAAGGGAGAAA